rnacentral:miRNA from 1 species
GUGUGCUUUAGCAUUUAUAAUCAUGUGUCCAUUCACAUGAUCAUAAAUGGACACAUGACUAUAAAUGCUAAAGCACAC